rnacentral:misc_RNA from 1 species
CUCCUCCACUCCUUUCCCUGUCGCCCCACUCUCCUCUGGCUCACCUCUCUACUCUUGUCGAUGUUGUAGACCGUUGCCUCUUGGAUCUGGGUGGCUCUCUCGCCGCGAUGAUUUUGGCUGCCCUCUCUCCGGAGAUGGAAGUGGUAUGUGGUGUUCAAGGGAUGAAACUCGGGGGGUCUACGAUGAUUGGGCCACAUACCAAGAGCAAGUAUCGGGUUUCAGUAACAAUUCUUACAAGAGUUACAGUUCAAGGGACGAAGUUGUCAACGCUUUCUACUACAACAAACAAGCUAUCAGUCCUCUAUUCCAAAAUACUGAAGAAAUUGCAGUAAAACCAGAGCAGUCAAUCUGGUGUGUAAAGGACACCAUAAUCUUCGAUGUAAUUAAAAUGUUUUGUAUCAUGUACUUUGGUUAGGAGGUCUAGUUUGUUGUCAUUGUGUCAGUAUCAUGUA